rnacentral:rRNA from 1 species
UGGGGAAUAUUGGACAAUGGGCGAAAGCCUGAUCCAGCCAUGCCGCGUGGAUGAUGAAGGCUCUUGGGUUGUAAAAUCCUUUCGCCGGGGAAGAUAAUGACGGUACCCGGUAAAGAAGCUCCGGCUAACUUCGUGCCAGCAGCCGCGGUAAUACGAAGGGGGCUAGCGUUGUUCGGAAUUACUGGGCGUAAAGCGCACGUAGGCGGAUAGGUAAGUCAGGGGUGAAAUCCCAGAGCCCAACUCUGGAACUGCCUUUGAUACUGCCGAUCUCGAGGAUGACAGAGGCAAGUGGAAUUCCGAGUGUAGAGGUGAAAUUCGUAGAUAUUCGGAGGAACACCAGUGGCGAAGGCGACUUGCUGGGUCAUUUCUGACGCUGAGGUGCGAAAGCGUGGGGAGCAAACAGG